UACGUAGGAUGCAAGCGUUGUCCGGAUUUAUUGGGCGUAAAGCGAACGUAGGCGGUUUCCUAAGUUCGGGGUUAAAGACCGAGGCUCAACCUCGGGAGUGCCCUGGAUACUGGGAGACUGGAGGACGGCAGAGGAAAGUGGAAUUCCCAGUGUAGCGGUGAAAUGCGUAGAUAUUGGGAGGAACACCAGUGGCGAAAGCGACUUUCUGGGCCGUUCCUGACGCUGAGGUUCGAAAGCGUGGGGAGCAAACAGG
rnacentral:rRNA from 1 species